rnacentral:rRNA from 1 species
CACGUAGGGCGCAAGCGUUGUCCGGAAUUAUUGGGCGUAAAGAGCUCGUAGGCGGCUUGUCGCGUCGACUGUGAAAUCCCGCGGCUCAACUGCGGGUCUGCAGUCGAUACGGGCAGGCUAGAGUUCGGUAGGGGAGACUGGAAUUCCUGGUGUAGCGGUGAAAUGCGCAGAUAUCAGGAGGAACACCGGUGGCGAAGGCGGAUCUCUGGGCCAUUACUGACGCUGAGGAGCGAAAGCAUGGGGAGCGAACAGG